CGACAGCAACGGAGAAAUUCAUUCGGGUUCGGAAUGAUACAUGGGUCUAUGCAGAAUUUAAAAGAAUAACUGGAGGAAUCUGCACUCAACUUUCCACAAAGCCUUGGAAGUCCGUGCUAUAGAUCUGAUCAGGAUGUAUCAAUCCAGAAGAGACCACAGAUAUAGCCAUCGAUGGAGGGCAGCAAGUGAUUUUCGCCACAGGAAUUCACAAACUCAAAAUACCUAUGUUUUGAUUUUUUUUCAAUAGGCCUUUUUUGUAGUUCAGCAAAUAAGUUUGCUGUUGUAUUUCAAAUGCAAUGUCUGUCAACAGGAGCACUCAAUCAUGUAUGUUUAAUCUAUAUGAGAAGUGAUUGUUAUGAAUUAAAAGCUA